CUACGUGCCAGCAGCCGCGGUAAUACGGAAGGUCCAGGCGUUAUCCGGAUUUAUUGGGUUUAAAGGGAGCGUAGGCGGAUUGUUAAGUCAGCGGUUAAAGGGUGUGGCUCAACCAUGCAUUGCCGUUGAAACUGGCGAUCUUGAGUGCAGACAGGGAUGCCGGAAUUCGUGGUGUAGCGGUGAAAUGCUUAGAUAUCACGAAGAACUCCGAUCGCGAAGGCAGGUGUCCGGGCUGCAACUGACGCUGAGGCUCGAAAGUGUGGGUAUCAAACAGGAUUAGAUACCCUGGUAGUCCACACAGUAAACGAUGUAUACUCGCGGUUUGCGAUAGACAGUAAGCCGCCAAGCGAAAGCAUUAAGUAUACCACCUGGGGAGUACGCCGGCAACGGUGAAACUCAAAGGAAUUGACGGGGGCCCGCACAAGCGGAGGAACAUGUGGUUUAAUUCGAUGAUACGCGAGGAACCUUACCCGGGCUUGAAUUGCAGAGGAAUUAUUUAGAGAUA
rnacentral:rRNA from 1 species